rnacentral:lncRNA from 1 species
AGACGAGGGCUAAAAAAUUUAAUUUCUGAAUUGAACUUUGUUGGGAGAUUUGGAGGAUGUUGCUAUGAGGUUCCUUUCACGAAAUUGAAAAUACCCCGAACGUCGUGGUGGCUUGCUAGGAGGACGUCUGAAGUUUGGUGGCUGAUUGUGGAGAGAGGCUCGGUGAAUCGAUGGUCGGAAAGAUGGCCGGAGGGAGUUCACGAUGAAGAUGUAACGUAUGGAAUUUGUGGAGAUGAAGAGUAGAGGAAAACUGUAAUUUUUAUUUCAUCAUAAGCAAAAUACAUUUGGGCCCUUUAUAGGGAUAUUACAAUGGGUGCAAAAAUGUAAAAUGUCCAUAACUAAUGAGUGUUACUAACACUCUUACAAUUUAUGAUUAAUUAAGUCUAAAAAUACUAAUUUAACCAAUUAAUUAAUCACCUUCUUCUAAUCGGGUUUGCCCUCUUUCUAAGUGGUGAAAUCGGUCACCCAAUGUGAGGGUUUUCUAUUUCGGGUUGAGCUCCGGACGGCUUAGGCAGACAGACCUAAUUUCUUCCCAGAUUCCUCGCCGGAAACGUUGCUGCAGUUACUUGACUCCGGCUGUUGUUCAUCUUUUAUUUCUUCCAUCAAUGAUGCUAUCUUCUCCAGAUCUUUCACUACUUUCUCCGUAACAAGACCACCUCCCCAAGGAUUCACCUUGUCCUCAAGCUGGAUUGAAGGAAAGAGCUUCCUCAAGCAAUCAUCGUCUUUCCAUGAUGAAUCUUCAAGAAGUGCUCCACUCCAUUGAAUCAGAGAUUGGGGUACUCUUUUUCCUUGCUUAUAAACCUCCCUGCGAUCAAGAAUAGCUAUAGGAUAAUGAAUGAGAUUAUUUCUUACUGAAAUUAUGGGUUGUUUUUCCCAAUUUGCAAGUUGCUCUGGACCAUGGAAUGCUUUUAACUUUCUGAUGUGAAAACAAUCAUGAAUUCUGCUUCCUUCUGGCAGAUGAAGCUUGUAAGCCACUUUACUUAUCUUCUUUUUGAUCUUGUAUGGUCCGAAAUAUUUUUGACUCAUUUUGUUAUUUAAUCUGAAUGCCACUGUUAAUUGUCGACAUGGUUGCAAUUUAACUAACACCAAAUCACCUUUUUUGAAUUCAAUUUCUCUCCUUCCUUUAUCUGCAUUAAUCUUCAUUCUGCUUUGGGCUUUAGCUAAGUUUCUUUUAACAAUCUCCAAUGCUUUUUUUCUUAACUGAAUUUCCCCAUUUACUGCAUCAAUAUUGGAACUUUCAAGUGUAAAGUUGGGAAACAAGGUUGCCUCUCUUCCAUAUAAUGUCUGAAAGGGUGUUUGCCCUAGAGAAGCAUUAUAAUUAGUGUUAAACUAUAAUUCUGCCCAUGGAAGGAGUUUUAACCACUCUUUAGGUUCUUCAUGGACCAUAGCUCUUAAAUACAUUUCGAUGCCUCUGUUAACUACUUCUGUUUGGCUAUCACUUUGUGGGUGGUAGGCAGAAGUGAAAUUGAGUUUAGUUCCAUUCAAUUUAUUUAGUUCUUUCCAGAACUUGGAUACAAAUACCUUGUCUCUGUCAGAUACAAUAGAGUUGGGAUACCCAUGUAGUCUAAUGAUUUCAUUGACAAAAAAUUCAGCAACCAUAAGAGCAUUAUAAUUAGAAGUGAGUGCUCCUAAAUGACAUGAUUUAGAGAGUCUAUCUACCACUACUAUGAUCACAGAUUUAUUUUGUACCUUGGGUAGACCAGUGAUGAAGUCUACUGAAAUAUCUUGCCAAACUGAAGAUGGAAUUGGCAGUGGCAUGAGAAGCCCAUUGUUUUUCUGAUUUGAGGGUUUAAUCUUUUGACAGAUAGCACAUUCCUUCACAUAUUUCUUUAUCUCUUUCCACAUUCCUUGCCACCAAAUUUUUUUGGAUAUCCUGCUGAAUGUUCUUUCUACUCCCGAAUGACCUCCCACAUAACUAUCAUGGAACUCUUGCAAUACUCUGGAGAUUAUUUCAGACCCUUGUAUGAGUAGUAUUCUUCCUUUAAAAAAUAUCAGCCCAUUUCUGAAAGCAUAGCCUUGGGAUUUUAAGUUAUCUUCAAGGAUUCCUUCUAUGUACACCUUAGCCUUCUCUGAAUUCACAUUAAACAGUUUUAUUUCUUCAAUAAGUUGGUGUAUGGUAAUAGAAAGAGCUAACAUUGAUCCCUUGGUAACUUCUGCCUUGUUUGAAUAUAGAAUUUCUUCUUCGGUCUCGUGGCUUCUAGAUAAUGCAUCUGCCACUUGGUUGAAUUUCCCAGGUUUAUAAAUAAUAGAUAAAUCAUAGCCUAAUAGCUUACAAAGAAAUACCUGUUGUUCGGGUGUUUGUAUCACUUGAGUCAAUAGGUUUUUCAAACUUCUGUGAUCAGUUUUUAUGAUAAAAUGCCUACCAAGGAGAUAAUGUCUCCAUUUUGCCACCGAUUGAGUGAUAGCUUCCCCUUCUUGAAAAGAGAGAAAAAAAAGAAAGCGAUCUUGCAAUCUCAGUUCUUGGCAAUUUGGUGGAUUCCAGUUCUUGCGAUCUCACCGUUUCCAGUUCUGACCGAUCUCGCCGUUUCCAGUUCGCCGUCUGCAGCUUUUGCGAUUUCUCGGUUCUGCGAUCUUGGAUUUUGCUCGCGUGACUUUGCUGGAUUUUACUUCGACCGAUUUUGCGGUUUUGGUUUUUCUGUUCGCGUGCAAGAUUCCAGCGUGUGAAUUGCAGUUCGUGAUUCCAUAUUGCAGUUUCAGAUUCAAUUCUAGAUUGUUUGCAGCUUCUCGACCGAUCAAUUGCAGAUUGUUCCCAGAUUGUUUGCAGAUUCUAGAUUGGUGAUUGUUUGCAUCUUCUCCACCGAUCGAUUGCAAUUCUGGUUUUUUUCUUCUUCCUCCUUUACUGUUUUACUUUCAUCGAUUUUUUUUCCAGACAGAUUUUAAUAUCGAUUUUAUUAUGGAUUUCUGUCAAACUCUCAUCGAUUUUUUUCUUUUGUUUCCCAGACAGAAUAUUGAUUGUUACUCUGCGCCGUUCUUCUAACAACGUGAAGUUCUCACAAGAAAGAUACGGUUAUUCGUUCUAACACUGUCAUAGAACUUAAGUAGAUUAAAAACUUGUUGACUGAAUCGGAUCGUGAUAAAAGGUCCAUGUUACUUUGAUCUGAUAAUUUGGGUGCAACUUUUCUUACUUCCAAUACAACUUGCCAUACUAAACUCAAACAUGUUGUUAUUGGACUUAAAUAUAUUAUCUUAACCCGAACAUGUUUGUAGAUUAACGGUCGAAACUCUCUCAAGUUUGAAUUUUAGAUGUUUAAAGACCUUUAAUAGUUA